rnacentral:tRNA from 1 species
GGGAAUGUGGCUUAGUGGUAGAGUACCUGCCUAGCAUGCAUGAAGCCCUAGGUUUGAUUCCUCAGUACCA